GAUGAACGCUCGCGGCAGGCUUAAUACAUGCAAGUCGAGGGGCAGCAUGCCUGUAGCUCUCCAGUUGCUGGCGACGGGCACGUGGGUGCGGAACAAGUACCCUACUUACCCUGAACUGGGGGAUAGCCCGGGGAAACCCGGAUUAAUACCCCGUAAUACAGUGGCGUGGUAUCACUUUAUUAUUAACGCUGCGGCGGUUCGGGAUGGGCGUUGAGCUGCUUAGGUAGUUGGUUGAGGUAACGGCUCACCAAGCCUACGAUCAAUAACGGGUGUGAGAGCACGACCAGUCACACGGGCACUGAGACACGGGCCAGACUCCUACGGGAGGCAGCAGUAAGGAAUAGUGGGCAAGGGAGGGAAGACUGAUCCAGCCAUGCCGCGUGCAGGAUGAAGGCCCUCUGGGUUGUAAACUUCUUUUGUAAGGGACGAAUCCGGUGUAUUCUUACGUAGUUGACGGUACCCUAGGAAUAAGCACCGGCUAACUCCGUG
rnacentral:rRNA from 1 species